ACGGUGAUAGCAAGUUCAGGUCUGGUGCAGCUCUGCUCAGCCCAAAACCGAGCGGGAAGGAGAAAUGAGAAGCUGGUGAAAGGCCUCACGGACAAACGUACUCUCCAGCUUCUGCACCCCGUGUUCUCCUUCUGUCGUGCUCCAGACCCUGGAGAGGAGUCAGCCUCAGUGAACCCAGUGACAUGCCCCUGGAAAUGGAGAGCUGCUCACAGAAAUGCCAACAGCCCAGCCGAUAGGGCCUUCCCACUGAUAGGAGCGUAUUCCAGCACGGAGCCGAAGCCACAGGCAGGAGGAUGA
rnacentral:lncRNA from 1 species